AUAAUUUUCCAAAGACCCAAUCAAUUUUGCGCAGUAUUUUAGAGUCAAGGUGCUGCUUCUUAACGCCAUGCAAGAUAUGUAAUUGUCGAAAAAAUUACAGAUAACCCCGCGUAAGCCGCUUAUCAACGACGUAAACUGAUUUUAUGAACUCCACUCCAUAUCUCCAUAUGGGCAUAUAUCGUUCUAUUUAUCUCACACCCAGGUGAAAAAUUCUUCUUGUUAUUAUACCGGCCAUAGUAGAAAACAGCGUACAAGGGGCCAACCCAGCGCUGCGAUUAUUAUCGAUUAUCGGGAGAACAUGUGUACUCAGUUUCUGACUUAGCCAGGCCAUAUCGAAGUUUCGAGCCCCGAUUUCGACAAGUUGUUAACAAGUUGCCCCAGUUGGCGUUUAGGCGAUCUCGCUGUAAUUCAUCAUGAUCUGGCUUACGUGAUUUUUCUGAGGUGCAAUGGUUAAAUUACGGUCCAAGGACGAGGGGGUGAUGCAACCCCAACAACAAAGUAGAAUCUGAAAGUGCGGUUCGGUGGUAAACCCCAGAAAUCUGUUUUUAUCCCUGAAUUUGUGCUUGCAUGGAAGAUCGAAAGAAUGUGCCGAAGUGUCCCUUUCUAGCUUAUCUAGUGGCUCAAAUGGAAUUUCCGGAAAGUGAGUGAUGUCUAUUGAUUUCGUUUGAUAAGUUUUGAAUAAAAAUGUGGAGUGGCUUAUCGAUGAAGGCUGUUCAGUAUUUCAUAAAUUAUAUUUCAUCGAGAUAUGGUCUAAAAAUAUAUUGGAUAGUGCUGUGAGACAAGCAAACAUAAGAGGAGCUUUCUGGAUAAAUUCAGUUUUUGGGAAGACACCCAGGACGAAUUGGGAAAUAGUCACCAUUGCUGGACUAACACCGAAAGUAUUCAGAGAUACUUCUUUCCGCCGAAUCCUGGAAACGGUUCCCAGGAGCUCUUAUUCAUAACAGUCUCUAUGUCAACGAUUUCUUCCACGCUCCCAUCAACUGGUAAUGUCAAAAACUAAUUAGUUUUCCUGGAAUUCCAGUAAAGAGCUCCGAAGAACUUUGACCGCUGAAGGACUUAUUGAUUCAUCGUUAAAUUUAGAAGAACGAUGUCAUGGCAUAUUCGACAAGUUGUCUAUGAUAUGACAGAAGAGAGUUCCGAAAAAAGUCUUCGAAUCCCGGGAAUCUAACUUCGCUCUUAACACCACGGUUCAUCAAAACAUCAACUGGAGGUGCAUCCGUAUGGCAAACGACAUUACCAACGGUUGCUUGACUCCAGUCCAGCUGUUCUUCUAUCCGGUUAAUUCUGCAUUUCAGUCCAAGCAGAUGCUCGUCAAGUAAAAUGUCUUUUCGAGGGUUGAAGGGCAUUAUGUGUCUCGGGGGGUUUUGCACUGUAAUCGUCAAGAAAGGUACGGCUAAUGCACCUAAUUCGCAUCCAUACCACCAGCUCCUACUCUCACCGCUAGAAACCUCUGGAUAAUGCAAAGUGCCAGAGGAGAACUCUGCAUCGUAAAACGGAGAUGACCCGACUGAUCCUUCAGUUUGGUGACUGUGCAAUAGGCUGACUAUCUGCUGACAGUAUAAUAUUGUCUUCGAGCUUGAAAUUAGUCUCGAAUUGGGUCGCAAAUACAACGGUGACCAUGACAAUAGAAAAAGGAUUACGAAUUUGGAACUUGAAUUGCACGCCCACAUUUAAUCCUGCAUUAGAUGACGUACAGUAAAGUGGACCAGAUUGAAGAACAAAGACCGAAGGAAGACAAAAGCAAUAAAAACACUAUCCACGGAGGGGACUUCAAGAAUAACAAGGAGUCACAGUCAAAUACAUUGGGGAACUUCUGGGAACUUCGAGUUUCCUUCUUACAAGUCAUGAGCUCAACAUCAUAUCUUCCGACGAUUUUCAGAAUUGAGUGUUGUGGUAUCCACAAACGAUGUCUUUUCUUGAUCGUCUCAAGGGAAUGGUUUCAACGUCAAUAUUGAGAUGGUGCAUGUUGUCCAAGGAUACAAAAUGGGGGAAAACUUCUACAUGCAUUCUACUAUAAAAACUAUCAAACUAUCAAAUUCGCUUAGAUACAUAGUUUUAUGGUACUUUUCCAUUUAUUUAUCAUAUCUACAGGAGUUUUAUGCAAUUUUCAGGACAAGAAGAUGAGUAUUUUCAUUCUUUUAUUAUGUUUGCUUAUACAAUAUUCAUUGAGUAUUGUUUUUGUAAUUUUUUAUUGAGUAUUUUUAAUUUUCAACUGGGUUUUUUUCUCUUUUUUAUGUUUUAUUUUAACAAAAAUAGUGUAGAUAUUUUUAUUUCUUUAUAUUUAAACUCUAAGUAGCCUUCAUGAUUUUUUUAUAGAAAAAUAUUAUUUAUAGUUUUCUUUUUCUAUUAUUAGUAACAAUAUUAUUGACUUUUUGUCUUAGUAUCCUUUUGUGUAAGUAUACAUAUUUAUUUUAUUUUAUUUUAUUUUAAAUAUCCGCUUUUGAAAUCUAAAUAUUUAAAUAGUUUUGCCGUAAUUUACUACGAAAAAUUCUUAAAAAUAAUUUCGUAAAAUUAAAAGUUUUAUAUGUACAGAUCACAUUGAAUUUUGUAUGCACAAUGAGUAUAUAUAAUAUUUAUUAUAUAUAAAUAGUUGCAUUUUAUAUUACAGUGUUGUGCAUUCGGGUUUUUGUUUUCAUUUUUCGUAAUAUAAAAUGGUAAAAAUAGUUGUAUAUAUAUAAUAACAUUCAGUACAAGUAUGGCAAUAAAUAAAUUAUUAAUACUUCUAUAAAUGUACAUUAUAUAUAUAU